GACGAACGCUGGCGGCGUGCCUAAUACAUGCAAGUAGAACGCUGAAGGAGGAGCUUUCUUCUCUGGAUGAGUUGCGAACGGGUGAGUAACGCGUAGGUAACCUGCCUGGUAGCGGGGGAUAACUAUUGGAAACGCUAGCUAAUACCGCAUAAGAGUAGUUGUUGCAUGACAUUUGCUUAAAAGGUGCAAUUGCAUCACUACCAGUUGGUCCUUCGGUGUAUUAGCUAGUUGGUGAGGUAACGGCUCACCAAGGCGACGAUACAUAGCCGACCUGGGAGGGUGAUCGGCCGCACUGGGACUGAGACACGGCCCAGACUCCUACGGGAGGGAGCAGUAGGGAAUCUUCGGCAAUGGACGGAAGGCUGACCGAGCAACGCCGCGGGAGUGAAGAAGGGUUUCGGAUCGGAAAGAUCUGUUGUAAGAGAAGAAAGAGUGUGGGAGUGGAAAGUGCACACUGUGACGGUAUCUUACCAGAAAGCGACGGCUAACUACGUG
rnacentral:rRNA from 1 species